ensembl:miRNA
UUCCCUUUGUCAUCCUAUGCCUGGAGCUUCUGUAAGGCAGGGACAGCAAAGGGGAGC